GUCCCUGUAGCGCAGUGGAUAGUGCAUUGGACCUCUAAUCCAAAGUUCGUGGGUACGAAUUCCACCUGGGAUG